AAAACAGUUGUCCUUGUCACCUUGACGGUAGCACAUGUGUAAAAGAUCGCAAUUUGGAUUGGAUCCUUAAAAAAAAGAGUAGAUAGAAUCCUUGAUGCAGAUGCAGCACUGCUGCAUCAGUAAACUAAUCACCUCAUUGUGAAAUUACCCAAUUAAUGCCAACUCUCACACAAUAGACUUGUGUGUAAAUAAACCAGGUUCGGCAAUUGAGAGCAACUUGAAACAACUACAGCAAUGAAACAGGCAAUUGAAGCGUCACAAUCUGGCCACCUAGCUGGAAAGACUUUUUCACAGCAAACUUGUCAGGUUUAGCUGCAUGAGUAUUGAGUAAACAACAGCUGGCCUUCCCUUGGGAAGAAUUGGGCAAAUACACCAAUUGGGUGCACUGAAAGCGUUUAGCCAACAACCGUCAGCCGCAUUGAAAAGAAAAAUCAUCUGGUUGGCGUCACGGAGUCGUACGGCGUUAGAUUCUACUAUUUGUUCAGCAACGACUGUGCGCCUCUUUGCAUCUUUCAAGAGGUUUCCUUGGCUGCUACAAUACCGGUAGAAGAGAAAUACGUUACCCAACAGAUUUUGAAGCUCAUUGUGUCACCGGAUGUAAAUUUACUUUAGUCGUUAAAUUCCAUCAACUUCUGUCUGUGGCAAAUAUAUUAACUAUACCCUGUUCCACGACUUUCAAUCUGGAUUGAACGAAAUAACCAUUACCAUUUCUUACCCAUAGCCGCAGGUUAUGCCGUCGGACUGGACUUACUGCGUGGAUUCCAUUUCACUCUGUUCGGUACAUGUAUUUGAAAAAUAACCCACUUUCUGUGGUAGGACAGAAUGGCUGACACUAGCAGAUUCCGCGGGCAGAGUUGCAGCACACGGCAGCAUCAGCGACAUACUUAAGGAGAACCGUCCACCCGUGCUGCAAUCCUAUCAAUUCUUAUUUAGUUAUUCUCAGUUAUGAUAAAGUAACUUUGGUUUUCUUUUCGACCAAUUAACUAUUCCGAUUUUUUAUUCAAACUAUUUUAGGAGGCCAUUAGAAAAGGAACUUUCUGUGAUUGUAUUGACUAAGUAAACUAUUGAAAUAUACAGGGGAGCUGAUGAAUCAAAAUAGAACAUACCCAGAGACUAUCUAACCUCAAUGAGUGGUCCCGGUUCUCUCAUUUCCAGCAUUAAGGGAACGAAAGCAACGGAAAAGAGGAAAUAGGAAGACAUAUAUGUUACAGAAACUGUGUUGGCCGGGGCCCCGGGGGUUGCUCGGCUGAGCCAACUUGGGAUCGGUCCAUUCCAGUUUCUUUUAGCAAGAGUGUUUUAAUUUUACUAACAGACAGUCCGGAUUCUUACAAUGUCGAAUUCCGGAGUGAAAUUUUCUGAUUUGAAGAAGUUGCCAACCCACAGUACUUGCUCGCUGAUACGGAGAAGCGAAGCCGGUAUCAAGUUCUCUCGGUGUAUUGGGCAAUUUCAUCACAAUUGAAGUUUUAUUCCUGAUUUAGUAUUUUCUUCAAUUUAUUUCUGUAAUUUUAUUGUGCCGUUACUGGUAUGGGAUUGUAUGAGAUUGUAUUCCAUGUCGAUUGUCAGAUGUUGCAGAGUGCCAGAGUUUUUAGUUUGGUUUUAUAGUUUUUCAAAAACUUCCAUGUGCGGGAAGUAUUUUUAUAUUGUGGGAAGUGCAUGGUAGCGUUGAAAAUUUAUUUUAGUUAAUCAGAUUACAUAACAACGUACGUAAGAUGUGCUCUGAAAGAUAUCUAUACGAAAGUGAAUAUUACCUUUUUUCUAUUUAUUUCAGCCUUUAUUGGCAAAAUUGUUUUUAUCUCACGUGUGAAUAUAUAACGGCUAUGAAUAUA